rnacentral:rRNA from 1 species
CCUACGGGAGGCAGCAGUGAGGAAUAUUGGUCAAUGGGCGCGAGCCUGAACCAGCCAAGUAGCGUGAAGGAUGAAUGCCCUAUGGGUUGUAAACCUCUUUUAUCAAGGAAUAAAGUGAGGCACGUGUGCCUUUUUGUAUGUACUUUAUGAAUAAGGAUCGGCUAACUCCGUGCCAGCAGCCGCGGUAAUACGGAGGAUCCGAGCGUUAACCGGAUUUAUUUGGGUUAAAGGGAGCGUAGACGGGUUUUUAAGGCAUUUGUGAAAGGUUGGGGGUCAACCGUAAAAUUGCAGUUUAUAAUGGCAGUCUAGAGUACAGUUGAGGUAGGCGGAAUGCGUGGUGUAGCGGUGAAAUGCAUAGAUAUCACGAAGAACUCCGAUUGCGAAGGCAGCUUACUAACCUGCCACUGACAUUGAUGCUCGAAAGUGUGGGUAUCAAACAGGAUUAGAUACCCUGGUAGUC